AGUGAACGCUGGCGGCAGGCCUAACACAUGCAAGUCGAACGGCAGCACAGUGGAGCUUGCUCCAUGGGUGGCGAGUGGCGGACGGGUGAGGAAUACAUCGGAAUCUGCCCAGUCGUGGGGGAUAACAUAGGGAAACUUAUGCUAAUACCGCAUACGACCUACGGGUGAAAGCGGGGGCUCGCAUGACCUCGCGCGAUUGGAUGAGCCGAUGUCCGAUUAGCUAGUUGGCGGGGUAAUGGCCCACCAAGGCGACGAUCGGUAGCUGGUCUGAGAGGAUGAUCAGCCACACUGGAACUGAGACACGGUCCAGACUCCUACGGGAGGCAGCAGUGGGGAAUAUUGGACAAUGGGCGCAAGCCUGAUCCAGCCAUGCCGCGUGGGUGAAGAAGGCCUUCGGGUUGUAAAGCCCUUUUGUCCGGAAAGAAACGCCUCGGAUUAAUACUCUGGGGUAAUGACGGUACCGGAAGAAUAAGCACCGGCUAACUUCGUGCCAGCAGCCGCUGUAACAC
rnacentral:rRNA from 1 species